GUGCUCUCGAGUACAGGGAUCGCUUAAUCUGCAAGAUCCAUCCCGUCAGGAGACCUGGAGACUCUGUCCAGAUGGAGCCCUGGGUAAAUGCACUGUAAAACACAAAACCAGCAGAUUUCCCGCUGAUAACCAGUAGAUGGGAGCAGAGAGCUCCUUCCUCUGCAGAGCACUGAAACACUGUUUACAUAACAUACUUAAUCAUUUUUUUUCAAAUGUGUCAUACAGAAGUUUUACAGUGCUGCUUGUCUAGAAACUUCUUCCUUUCAAGUGGAAGGAAGAAAGAGAGUGAAGAGGCACACCAGAGUCCUAUAGAGCUACUGCACUUCAACACUUCUGUCAUGUUUCUGCUCUUUACAUUCCUUUCCAGAACAAUUUCUAAGUAUUAAGACAGAGCCUGCUACCCAUACUUCUUGCUUAUUUUAUAAGGGUGUGACAAGAUAGUUACAAAUACUCCACAGGCUGACAGGAAGGAUAUUUGCAACACUCAGCUUUAUACAUCCAGCUUGGCUGAUUAAGUUAAAAGGGUGUUAUGCCUUGAGCUCCUUAUGUAAACUGUAGGGAAAACAGCUCCUUUGAGGGAGACUGAGAGCAAGACUUACAUCAUGUGGAUGGAACGGAACAAGCUGAGGGCAACCAGCUGGAAACCAGAUGGGUCCUGGAUGACACCAUGAUGACCAUGAGAUAGCAAAGUGUUGUGGUGGCAAAGACCAACAUCUUCCUGAGCUACUUUAGGUGAGGCAUUGCCAGGAGGUCAAGGGAGGUGACCCUUCCCCUCUACUCAGCACUGGUGAGACCCAUCUGGAGUGCUGGGUCCACCUCUGAGCCCCUCAGGACAGAAGAGACAUGGACAUACUAGAACAAAUCCAGCAAAAGGGCAUGAAGACGCAUGAAGAGUAUCUGUCGUGAGGAGAAGCUGAGAGAGCUGGGUUUGUUCAGCCUGGAGGAGAGAAGGCUCAGGAGAACCUCAAUCAAUGUAUAUAAAAACCUUCUUAUUCCUCUUUGAAUUUUUUUCUUGCUUCUCAAAAUGUAAGUUAUAUCACCAUUAUCAUUUUCACAUCAGUAAAUCGCUUUUAAGUGAUCCUAAUAGCAUUACUUGAUGACAGGAUUUUUGAGGGAACUAAGGGAAUCUAAUUUACACAUCACGCUCAUGCUUUUGUUCAAAGGCUUUUUGUUUAGUCUGUUCGCAUACCAGCCCUACAUAUAAAGCCAUUUCUGAUGAAGCAAAGUUAUACUAUUUUAAAUAUAUAUUCACAGAUAGAAAGGCCAGAUCUCUAUCCUGAGCUUCAUAUUACAAUGUGCAGUAUGUAACUUUGCAAUUCUACUCUAUGCAUGUAAUUCUGACACAGUAAGAGUUUUUAUUUUCAAGAAGCUACCUUCCUAUCAAAA
rnacentral:lncRNA from 1 species